rnacentral:rRNA from 1 species
GAUGAGCCCGCACUUGAUUAGUUUGUUGGUGGGGUAAUGGCCUACCAAGACUGUGAUCAAUAGCUGAUUUGAGAGGAUGAUCAGCCACAUUGGGACUGAGACACGGCCCAAACUCCUACGGGAGGCAGCAGUGGGGAAUCUUGCACAAUGGAGGAAACUCUGAUGCAGCGAUGCCGCGUGAGUGAAGAAGGCCCUUGGGUUGUAAAGCACUUUCACUGGUGAAGAUGAUGACGGUAGCCAGAGAAGAAGCCCCGGCUAACUUCGUGCCAGCAGCCGCGGUAAUACGAAGGGGGCGAGCGUUGUUCGGAAUUACUGGGCGUAAAGGGCGCGUAGGCGGUCUUUUAAGUUAGGCGUGAAAGCCCCAGGCUCAACCUGGGAACUGCGCUUAAUACUGGAAGACUAGAAAACGGAAGAGGGUAGUGGAAUUCCCAGUGUAGAGGUGAAAUUCGUAGAUAUUGGGAAGAACACCAGUGGCGAAAGCGGCUACCUGGUCCGAUUUUGACGCUGAGGCGCGAAAGCGUGGGGAGCGAACAGGAUUAGAUACCCUGGUAGUCCACGCCGUAAACGAUGUCUGCUAGAUGUCGGGGGGUUGCCCCUCGGUGUCGCCGCUAACGCAUUAAGCAGACCGCCUGGGAAGUACGGUCGCAAGAUUAAAACUCAAAGGAAUUGACGGGACCCCGCACAAGCGGCGGAGCAUGCGGCUUAAUUCGAUGAUACCCGUAGAACCUUACCUGGACUAGACAUAUAGGGAAAAGCUAUAGAAAUAUAGUGUGCGUAAGCGCCCUAUACAGGUGGUGCAUGGCUGUCGUCAGCUCGUGUCGUGAGAUGUUGGGUUAAGUCCCGCAACGAGCGCAACCCCUGUCCUAUGUUGCCAGCAAGUAAUGUUGGGGACUCAUAGGAGACUGCCGGUGAUAAACCGGAGGAAGGUGGGGACGACGUCAAGUCAUCAUGCCCCUUAUGUCCAGGGCUGCACGCAUGCUACAAUGGCAAGUACAACGAGUCGCAAUACCGCGAGGUGGAGCAAAUCUCUUAAAGCUUGUCUCAGUUCGGAUAGGAGUCUGCAACUCGACUCCUUGAAGUUGGAGUCGCUAGUAAUCGCAAAUCAGCUAAGUUGCGGUGAAUACGUUCUCGGGGUUUGUACACACCGCCCGUCAAGUCACGGAAGUCGGCAAUACCCGAAGCCAGUGGUCUAACCCUUUAGGGAAGAAGCUGUCUAAGGUAGGGUCGGUAACUGGGACUAAGUCAUAACAAGGUAACCG